CCUGCCCAGUGAUUCACAUUCAACGGCCGCGGUAUCCUAACCGUGCAAAGGUAGCAUAAUCAUUUGCCCAUUAAUUGUGGGCUAGAAUGAACGGACCAACGAAAUAAAGACUGUCUCUAUAAGUCACCUAAAAAUUAAUCUCUAACUGAAGAGUGUUAGAUACCGUCGAAGGACAAGAAGACCCUAUAGAGCUUUAUUCCUAAAAAAAAAUUUUUUUUACGGAAUUCGGUUGGGGCGACCGAGGAAUUAACUAAUCAUCCUCUUUUAACAGAUAUAUAAAUCUCUACUUUGACCCUUAACAAAGAUCAUAAGACCAAGCUACCUUAGGGAUAACAGGCUAAUCCCACUAAAGAGUCCUUAUCAAUAGUGGGGCUUGGCACCUCGAUGUUGGCUUAGGGAACCUAUAUGACGCAAAAGUCAUAUAAAGAUGGUUUGUUCAACCAAUAACACCCUACAUGAGCUGAGUUCAGACCGGCGUAAGCCAGGUUAGUUUCUAUCCUCGAUAACACAACCUAUUUACAGUACGAAAGGACCUAAAUAAGAAUAAUAAUUAUAGUUAAAGAAUAAAUAUAAAACAAACUAAAUAAUCAAUUUACAUAAACUA
rnacentral:rRNA from 1 species